CUCCAAACAGCGCAAAUCCGGAGUGCUGCACACGGGUACCCACCCAGGUACAACUCCCGAAAUGGGCCCACCCAACAUCAGAGCUGCAAGGGGGGCAACCUACCCACGCCGGCAGGGACAUCAACGCCAGUGGAGGUGCCCACGGAGGUCCGGGAAUGAGGCCCGACGCAACCACACACCAAGAUACCAGCCACAGACACGAC